GAGUUUGAUCCUGGCUCAGAUUGAACGCUGGCGGCAGGCCUAACACAUGCAAGUCGAGCGGUAGAGAGAAGCUUGCUUCUCUUGAGAGCGGCGGACGGGUGAGUAAUGCCUAGGAAUCUGCCUGGUAGUGGGGGAUAACGCUCGGAAACGGACGCUAAUACCGCAUACGUCCUACGGGAGAAAGCAGGGACCUUCGGGCCUUGCGCUAUCAGAUGAGCCUAGGUCGGAUUAGCUAGUUGGUGAGGUAAUGGCUCACCAAGGCGACGAUCCGUAACUGGUCUGAGAGGAUGAUCAGUCACACUGGAACUGAGACACGGUCCAGACUCCUACGGGAGGCAGCAGUGGGGAAUAUUGGACAAUGGGCGAAAGCCUGAUCCAGCCAUGCCGCGUGUGUGAAGAAGGUCUUCGGAUUGUAAAGCACUUUAAGUUGGGAGGAAGGGCAGUAAAUUAAUACUUUGCUGUUUUGACGUUACCGACAGAAUAAGCACCGGCUAACUCUGUGCCAGCCGCCG
rnacentral:rRNA from 1 species